rnacentral:rRNA from 1 species
UGAGGAAUAUUGGGCAAUGCCCGAAAGGGUGACCCAGCAACGCCGCGUGGAGGAUGAAGGUCGUAAGAUUGUAAACUCCUGUUAGAGGGGAAGAAUAACUAAGUUUGGAGCUUAGUAUGACUGUACCCUCAGAGAAAGCCCCGGCUAACUACGUGCCAGCAGCCGCGGUAAUACGUAGGGGGCAAGCGUUGUCCGGAUUUACUGGGUGUAAAGGGCGCGCAGGCGGAAUGGAAAGUCAGUGGUGAAAUCCUACAGCUUAACUGUAGAACUGCCUUUGAUACUUUCAUUCUUGAGUUCGGGAGAGAGAGACGGAAUCCCAGGUGUAGUGGUGAAAUACGUAGAUAUCUGGAAGAACACCAGUUGCGAAGGCGGUCUCUUGGUCCGAUACUGACGCUGAGGCGCGAAAGCGUGGGGAGCAAACA